UAAACUCAGUCAUUUGCCCAAGAAUGAAUGUGCAAAUAGGGAACUGUUCCAACUGUGUCAAUGAUGUAAUAAUACAAAAAAAAAAAAAAAAAAGGUUUUAGUAGUAUUACUAACAAAUUAUCAUUCCGGUGUUAACGGAAUGUAAAAUUGAGGCACUAGUUUACGGAAGUGGUUGUAAAAAGGAGGGGGUGGGGUAGACUGACUCGUCCUCAAUUCUCGUUCACUUUCGCACAUUCAACAAAAAUAGUGAAAAUACACAUAAGAACCGUUGUGCGCAAUUUAUUUUCCUCUGCCUUUAAACUUUAGCCUGGCACCUAUCCUGCGCGCGCAGCUCUUGACAGCCCAAAGCAUUGAUGUCAGGCGCGCUCAUGUAAACAAGGUUAUUCUUGCGUGCGCGCCAGUUUCAGAUGAGUGACGAGGUCAUUGGUUUUGCUCAAAUGCUGAUGGAAACAAUGUCUACACCCAGAGAGAGCGGCGUGACCAAGCGAGUGGCGGAACUACAGCAGCCGCAACAUGAUGCGAGGUCGCUCACAUAAGUCACGCGCUUGCCGUUAACAGCUGCUUCAACGAUGAUGAGAGCAAUCGAGUAUGCUUCGCAUCUUUGCGUCACUGUUUGACAUGAUGUGAAAUUUCAAUGUCCAAUAGAGACACAAGAUAAAGCUCUUUUUGUUCGACAUCACUUUGUAAACAUGAAUAUAUUGUAAUAUAUUGAACUGGAACAGACAGUCAUACUGAUACCAGUUGUCUUUCCACAAGUACCAGUGCACUGAGGUUGCUCCUUUUGCUUCUGCCACCUCCUAAAACGUAAUAAAACUGUUUUUUAGAAGAGUAUCUCAACUCUGUAGGUCCAUACAAUGCAACUGAAUGGUGACCAGAACUCUGAAGCUCCAAAAAGCAGAAAAGGGUGGCAUAAAAGUUAUCCAUAUGACUCCAGUUGUUUAAUCCAUGUCUUCUGAAGUGAUCCAGUUGGUUUUGGGUGAGAACAAACCAAAAAUGUAACUCCUUUUUCACUGUACAUCUUGCCAUUGCAGCUUCUAGGUACAAUCAUGAUUUCAAGCUCAAUUACUCUUUCUAGCGCCAUCUAGCGGCUGUGCGCAUGUGUUAAGCAGUAGGAAGUGUAAUCGAAGAUAUUGAUACUGCAGAAGAUAUUACUGAAGAUAUUGAUUAAACCACCGGAAUCUUAUGUUGUACUUUUAUGCCUCCUUUUGCUGCUUUGUUGGCACCCAUUAACUUUCAUUGUAUGGACCAACAGACCUGAGAUUUUCUUCUAAAAAUCUUCGUUUGUGCUCUGCAGAAAAAAAUUAAAAUAAAGUCAUACACAUCUGGGAUGGCAUGAGGGUGAGUAAAUGAUGAGAGAAUUUUCAUUGUUGGGUGAACUAUUCCUUUAAAUGUUUUAUGAAUUAUGUAUGAUUACUUUAUGGAUCUUAAUUAAUUUGUCAUAAUUUAUAAUUUCCUUUUCUGUUCUAGCAAGGCAAUGUCCCUUUGCACAAAGCGAGGACUAUUUUGAAAUAGUUUAUUAUCAUAAUUUAACUUCAUUAAUGUGCUUCUGUCUAGUUAAACAUUUGAUUUUAACAGCAUGGGUAUUAAUUCCAUCCUCUGCUGCUAUCUAGUUUUUACUCCUCUGAAAGCUUUCCACUAGGUGUUGGAGCAUGGAUGCAUGUAUUUGCUCCUAUUCAGACAUAAAAGCAACAUUGAGGUCAGGCACUGAUGUUGGGUAAUGGGGCCUGGCUCCCUGUUUCUAUUCCAAUUAAUCCCACAGAUGUUCAGUAGGUGUUGCAGGCCAUUGAAGUUGUUCCACACCAGACUAAGUAAACUACAGUUGUGCUCAAAAGUUUGCAUACCCUGGCAGAAAUUGUGAAAUUUUGGCAUUGAUUUUGAAAAUAUGACUGAUCAUGCAAAAAAAAAUGUAUUUAAGGAUAGUGAUCAUAUGAAGCCAUUUAUUAUCACAUAGUUGUUUGGCUCCUUUUUAAAUCAUAAUGAUAACAGAAAUCACCCAAAUUGCCCUGAUCAAAAGUUUACAUACCCUUGAAUGUUUGGCCUUGUUACAGAUACACAAGGUGACACACACUGGUUUAAAUGGCAAUUAAAGGUUAAUUUCCCACACCUGUGUCUUUUUAAAUUGCAAUUAGUGUCUGUUUAUAAAUAGUCAAUGAGUUUGUUAGCUCUCACAUGGAUGCACUGAGCAGGCUAGAUACUGAGCCAUGGGGAGCAGAAAAGAACUGUCAAAAGACCUGCAUAACAAGGUAAUGGAACUAUAUAAAGAUGGAAAAGGAUAUAAAAAGAUAUCCAAAGCCGUGAAAAUGCCAGUCAGUACUGUUCAAUCACUUAUUAAGAAGUGGAAAAUUCGGGGAUAUCUUGAUACCAAGCCAAGGUCAGGUAGACCAAGAAAGAUUUCAGCCACAACUGCUGGAAGAAUUGUUCGGGAUACAAAGAAAAACCCACAGGUAACCUCAGGAGAAAUACAGGCUGCUCUGGAAAAAGAUGGUGUGGUUUCAAGAAGCACAAUACGACGAUACUUGAACAAAUAUAAGCUGCAUGGUCGAGUUGCUAGAAAGAAGCCUUUACUGUGCCAAUGCCACAAGAAAGCCCGGUUACAAUAUGCCCAACAACACCUUGACACGCCUCACAGCGUCUGGCACACUGUAAUUUGGAGUGACGAGACCAAAAUAGACCUUUGUUUGGAGAGGGGUCAACAAGGCCUAUAGUGAAAAGAAUACCAUCCCCACUGUGAAGCAUGGUGGUGGCUCACUGAUGUUUUGGGGGUGUGUGAGCUCUAAAGGCACGGGGAAUCUUGUGAAAAUUGAUGGCAAGAUGAAUGCAGCAUGUUAUCAGAAAAUACUGGCAGACAAUUUGCAUUCUUCUGCACGAAAGCUGCGCAUGGGACACUCUUGGACUUUCCAGCACGACAAUGACCCUAAGCACAAGGCCAAGUUGACCUUCCAGUGGUUACAGCAGAAAAAGGUGAAGGUUCUGGAGUGGCCAUCACAGUCUCCUGACCUUAAUAUCAUCGAGCCACUCUGGAGAGAUCUCAAACGUACGGUUCAUGCAAGACGACCAAAGACUUUGCAUGACCUGGAGGCAUUUUGCCAAGACGAAUGGGCAGCUAUACCACCUGCAACAAAAGACUGCAUGGUGUCAUUGAUGCUAAAGGGGGCAAUUCACAGUAUUAAGAACUAAGGGUAUGCAGAAUUUUGAACAGGGGUCAUUUAUUUUUUUCCUUUGUUGCCAUGUUUUGUUUUAAGAUUGUGCCAUUCUGUUAUAACCUACAGUUGAAUAUGAAUCCCAUAAGAAAUAAAAGAAAUGUGUUUUGCCUGCUCAUUCAUGUUUUCUUUAAAAAUGGUACAUAUAUUACCAAUUCUCCAAGGGUAUGCAAAUUUUAGCACAACUGUAUGUCUUCAUAGUCCUCAUUUUGUGCACACGCAGAGGCACAGUUAUUCUUGAACAGAAAAGACCCUCCCCAAACUGUUACAAAAAUGUUGGAAGCACACAAUUGCCUAGGAUGUUAUUGAUGUAAUGUUGUAGCAGAAGGAAGAUUUAAGUUUACAGGAACAGCCAAACAUUACUACUGAAUUUACUGAAUGAGUUUCCUUGUGUCACCUAAUAAUACACAGUUGUUCUUUUACAGCAUCUCAAGCAACAUGCUGAAAAUUCAUAUGAUCAUCAUUCAGCUCUUGCAAACUAUAUUAUAGUAUUAUAUGGGAUGAACAUAUAGAGCAUAAAACAGAGCUGAAACAUAAUUGAAAACGUCUGACUACAGCAUUGUGUCACAAUCAGUAAAGGAUACUAAUGUGCAAAAUGAAUUGCCUUUAUUAGUUCACAGAAUAAUGCAAAAUAGUAUCACAAUAUGUGUUGACAUUUCGUUCAAGAUAUUUUGUUAUAAUAUCGGCAUACAAAAUGGAAGCAAAUUCCACAAAAACACAACUGGUAACAUUACUUAAAGGUGCAGUAUGUAAGAUUCAGAAACGCUUGUUAUUAAUGACACUUGUGGCCGUUAAGUGAACUGCAGCCAGCUACCUGUUGCUCGUGCUCAUGCACACACUCCAUAGGGACGCGAGUGAGCGAGCAUCGACCAAAACAAUGACGUAACGAACAAAGAGACUGAACGUGAUCCACCGGCAUCAUGCUGACAGAUGAGGUAGCAUAAUUAAAAUUACAGUUAUAAUUGUUUUACUACAAACUUUGAGAAUAAACUAAAACUACUUAUCAGCUAACAUAGCAUACUGAUACACACAUACAGCUACAUAUUACUGAACUAUACCAGACAGUUUACUGUUGCACUAUUGUAUGUUUUGUAUGUCAUAUGUUGUACUACAAAUAAGAAACCAGCAUAUUUGCUUAAAUGUAUCCUUUAUACCUGACUUUUAGUAUAAAGAGAAGAUCGUUGAAAUUAUUUGAAAGUUACGAAGCAAGGUAGCUUGCAAUUCGUCAGCGUUAGCAGGCAAGAUCAAGUUAGCUAAAGUUACACAGAUCAAUCCUUAUGGCACUAUAUUUCACAUGCUUUGCAGUUAUGUAACUUACCUGUCCAAUAAGAAGAACGCCAAUUCAGGGUCAGUUCUGAUCCCCAAAACCGAACAAAGGUCCCUCCAGAAAUCAAAUGCCCUGCCAAUGUUCACUCUAGUUUUCGCUCGACCACGAUCACAUUCCCGCUUAGCUAGACUGGAUUCAGUAGAUAAAUGUUUUUUUUGGGUUUUUUUGCCUUCUCUAAGUUUGCGUAUGAGUCAGUGUUUUGCUGGGAGCCGGCCGUUUGCUGGAUUCCAUCUCUAAGAUAACAUUACCUAGUGUUGCAGUUUGUUGUCGCUGUUGAAUAUCGGAAGCACUGAGGCAAGGCUCUCAGGAGCACGCAUAAACGUCACAUCCUUUGGAUUUUCUCAGCAAAAGCGACCCGCUCCCUUCGCAUGAAAAUCAGUCUACAGACUUUAAUAGGCAACCUAGGAAGUCCGGGAAGGGCUCAUUUUUUAAGUUGCUUUACAAGCCGUUCACACAUUGCACCUUUAAUUCAUAACGAGCCUUAAAUGUGCAUUUUUCAAAUGUAACUAAAAUUUGUAAACAGUGGUAUAGUUUUUGUCUUCUCUAAAUGUCUGCACAUUAUUGGCCAUCAUAAUGAAUAUAAUGUCAGUGAAAUACUUUUUGGAACGGUUGAGAAAUGACACUACAGCAGAUAAGCCCUGCACAAAAGUAAAAAAAAAUUCCUUAGAAGUCAUUGCAAGUUGCUUUUCACCCAUCUUCAUAUUUAAAAUAUCCAUUACUAAUUGCCUUUGAAAUUAUAUUUUCUGCUGAUAGUCUUUGGUCUAAAUAAAUUAAUACUUCAAUAAAGUUGUUCAAAUUUGCCUUCAUUCCUUUUCCAUCCAGUUUUUUAAUAGUUCGUAAACUCGGUCUUCUGGAAAAAGAGACUGUGCUUUUGAUGGCAUUAUCUCUCAACCCUAUAAGCCUGAAGAAUCUGUUAUGAUAGUGGACAUCCAUUUCUUCAAAGAGAUCAAACGACUUCUUCAAUAAAUCUUCUCCUAUGAAGAUGAGACAAUACGUUGCAAAUGAAAAUACAGUGUAGCAUAUUGCAUUUUAAAAAUUAAAAAGGUAAAAAGGAAAUGAGAGAGCUUAGCUUAGUCCCUACCGUUCAAAGGAACAAGUCUUCCUGUUAACUCUUGUUCCUAUAAGAGAUGAAGGAAUGCAUAAUGCAUAAGAUUAAAUUAAUGUGUUUAAUGCCGCUAUGUCUGUAGCGAAGCAUGUUUCUUAAUAAAAUUUUAAAAGUACAUUUUACUGAUAGUUUAUAAAUAAAUCAGUUUAUUUAUAAAUGUAAUUAUCAUCAAAGUUCAACAAGUGAAAUAUUACCAGAUUUUGCAUUUCCCAUGUGUUUAGAUGCAGUUUGAGAAAUAUAGAAUCUGUUUGUUUUUUGUUUUUUUUUCUUUUGUGCAAGUGAGACAAUUAAGCCCCUAGCACACUUAUAGAGAUGUUCUUCUUCAUUCUUAAUUCCGAGGUAAAAAGAAGUUUGAAACAGUUGAACAACAACAUACUCUUUGCAGACAUUCAGACAACGGCCACACCGCUGUGGGAGGCGUUUUAGCAGAGCAUUUAAAUAUAAGGACGCUCAAGACUGCAUGUAAACCAGCUAAUAUGACAUUAAAAUGUGUUAUCAAUGACUUCAUGCCUCAUUCUGAGUAAAAUUUACACAAGAUCAUUAAAAGAAGCUGUAUUUACUACUAUGAUUUUUUACAGUAAUAUAUAUGCAGUAGGUAAUGUGUAAUUUGUCUUGUUUACAUUCUGAAUUAAUGAAGCUAAUUAGCUAACAUGCUAUAUGUGGCCAUAAUCUGCCCUGAUUGCACUCUGUUAUUGUCAUUUAUGAGGACACUGAUACUACUGCAAAGAUGGGUGUACAAAAAAAAGCGUUAAUGGGCAGAAUACAGACAAAAGAAUGAUGAUAGACAUAGUAUCUUUCUAUGGGCAGAUGAGUGAUCGGUUUUCGCAGCAGACAGCAUGUGAUUGCAGCAGAUUAUAAAACAAAAGAGUGAGUGGGCAUUUAAGAGUAUUCGAGUAGAUCUGAUUCCUUUUGUAGACUAAUUAAAAAUCACAUGACAUACUCUUGGAAAAUGUCUCUACGUGAACAAUCAAACAGAUGUAGGUAAAUUUGCACCAGCUCGAUAAUAACUCUGCACGCCAGUGUGUUCUUGUCGACUGAUCUUAAGUAGGUGGAGCUCCAGGUCACACCAACCGAUGACGUGGACCAAUGGCAGUAAGAAGGCGCAUUGCAGCAGGUAAGAAAUUUUCCUGUAAGUUUGUCCAGGCGAGCUGUUAUGAACCACUGAAACAAACUCAAAAAACACCUUUUUGGCCAGAUUUUGCUCUAAAUGACGUCACACCCAUUUGUUUUUAGAUUUCAUAGGAAGUAUGCAGAGACCUUUAAGUUACCAAAUGCAAAGCAUUUAAGCAUUUAUAUUUUGCCUUUCAGUUAGAGAGAAGUUAAACAGCAGAGAUCAACUGUAAGUGUUUGAAAAGGUUAUAUGGAAACAGAGGUAGUGUUAAAGGCAAAGACCAGUGAGAGACCCUAAAUGGACAUUUCUGGUAAACUCAUUUGACCUAAUCUAAAACUUAUCCACAACAUCCUCACCAUUUCUAGCACAUAUGUUCACCAGAAAGUCAAUUUCGAUUCCCUCAAUGAGUAUAAUUCUCAAAGCUGCAACCAUCACCAAAGUGUGAGGCUGCCAGGCAAGUGCAAAGCUUGGAGGCUGGUUAGCAUAGCAGGGCAGGAGGUCACCAAGCACAGCAGACAUGGCCAGGCUAAUCUGUGAAGAACUGGCGGUGUUGGGGAGGCUGUCUCCCAGUCCCCUGUCAUUCUCCAUCUCUAAUGAAGCAGGGGACAGGGUACCCACCACAUAGUUUUGUUCAAGGAACAGCUGGAACUGAGAGGAGUCAUCCAUCUUGGAGUUGUGGUCAUUCUGUCUCUCCUCUCUCACCUCAUCACUGUCACCCUGCAGGGCAACAAGACUUACCAUCAUUACCAAGUGACAAGACAAAAGAAACAAUUGAAAGAACUGAGGAAAGAUGGGUUGUUGCAUUUCAAGAUUACCUGCUGUUUUACUUGGUUUUGACUUCUUCCAGUAGAGGAUGCUCACAAUGCAUAUCAGCAUUGCAAUUAGUGGCAAAAAUAACAAUAAAAGUCACUGCAAGACAAAGAGAUUGAAUCACUAUGUGGGGAACAGUCUGUACACACAAAUGGCAGGCAGGCCUUUUUCACAUAUGUUCCUGUAAUGGUUCAAUGAAAUGAGGAAGUGGGAAACUGCGAUUCAAACCCAGGUUAGCCAGCAGGUGGUGGCAAAAGAUCAUUUUUGUGUGUAAUAUGAGCCAGUUGGUGACCUGCCGCAUCAGCGACUGUUUACAUACAACAGCGCUCCGUGAUCGCUACUACACUAUUAAAGCUAGGAAAUAGCUUUAAACGGCUUUAAACGAACAACUUCAGCAUUACGGCUCAUCACAGCUGAGAGACACAACAGACUGAUUGAUUAAAGAACUCAAGGUGCUUACCUCUUACCGGAGUUACCACAUUGGAUACAUACUGUUUAAAAUGGCGGAGGACAUUGCGGUUUCUAUAGUGAAUGACUCUAGAGCACCGGCUACCGCGAAACAGAGAGGAAUACCCCCGCUUGGAUGGCUAUUUUACCACUGACAAAGCUGAUCUUCAGAAAGCUGACAACAUCUCUGCUUGGGAGUGGCAACAGGACUCUGAGGCAGACUUUUACAAUGGAUCUUUCCAAUCUCCUCCAAAGCACUUGCAAGUGAGUCAAGAUCUCCACUGUCCUGAUGCCUGGCCUCCCAGAGACUGAGAAUGACAGCAGAGGGACUUUGCUGCUUAGUGAAGUAGGACAGGUUCCUGUGCGGAAAGAAAAUGUUCAAAGCACUGACGCUGGUUCAGAGAACAGCCGUUGUUGGAGAUGCACCCUCCUACCUACACUACAUUUCCUCCUUACUUAUGAGGUCUGUGAGUGACACCUCAUGGUACCAUCACAAUGAGGCAAAAAAUCACUACCCAGAACUUUCACAUUCACUGUUCCUUGAUGGUGAGACGAUCAUCCACAUUUCACCUGAACAGCAGAGUUCCUCCCAAUCACAAGAAACAUACGUAUUUAAUUUUUGACUUCACGGUCCAGCUCUCACCUGAAAGGCAUGUGGUGUGUCAUCUACACAGUGCACUCGCAGGUUGUAGUCCACGGAGGAGGCCUCCAUACUGCCGAAAACUGCAAUCCUUAGUCUUUUUAUGGCUGC